GAGCUCUUUCUGAGAUGAAGAGAAUUCUCAAUGUCAAGAUUUGAACAAGAAGAGAAUGGAAUACACAAUAUGGACAUCCAUAAAAAUUCAUCAGAGAGCAUUUUACUACUGAGCUGCAAAGGGAAAAACUUAAAAUGGAUAUGAAAAGUGAAGAAAGUGAUCAUAGGAGAAAACCAUUUCAGGUGUCUGAUGAUUUGUGAGCCUCAAGUGACUACUCUGUGGAAUCAUCUGUCCUUGCCUUUGAAUUAGCUUUCCCUAGGCCAUGAGUCAACAUUAGUAGUUUAUACAUCCAAAUUGAUGACAAGAGCACCUCAAAGGCAGCAGCCUCAAGGAGCAGCCAUGGCCCCAGACUUGUCGCACGGAUGCAGAAAACUUAAUGGAGGAGGCUGAGCAAAACAGAGCGUGACACUCCCAAUCAUCUGCAUGCUGGAAAUGAGGAAAUGGUUAUUGAAUGAUACAAGUGCUUUUCGAUCAUUUAGAAAGUUCUGUUUCCCAAGAUCUUUUUUUUUUUUUUUUUUUUUGAGACGGUGUCUUGCUCUGUCACCCAGGCUGGAGUGCAGUGGCGCGAUCUCGGCUCACCACAACCUCCACCUCCUGGGUUCAAGCGAUUCUCCUGCCUCAGCCUCCCGCGUGGCUGAGACUACAGGCAUGUGCCACCAUGCCCGGCUAAUUUUUGUAUUUUUAGUAGAGACAGGGCGGGCGGAUCACCCAAGAAUGGGAUAACUGCCUGGCACUCACCAAGCUACACUUGAAGAGGAUCAAUCCAUGUCAUCAUGUCCCCAAUUUCAUAGCACCAAGUAUUUUGUUUAUUCACAAAUGCCCUAUUAUGGACAUCUAGCAAACAAUGAUACAUCAGAAAAGGAGAUGUGCAUAAAUUUUCAUGGAAUAAGGUAUAAAGCCCAACUCUCAAUACAUACUAAUCAUAACAGGAGUCUAAGAAAUAUUCUGAAAUAAAUGGGAAUGCAGAAUGUGUCAGGCCUCUGAGCCCAAGCUAAGCCAUCAUAUCCCCUGUGACCAGCACGUACACAUCCAGAUGGCCGGUUCCUGCCUUAACUGAUGACAUUCCACCACAAAAGAAAUUAAAAUGGCCUGUUCUUGCCUUAACUGAUGACAUUAUCUUGUGAAAUUCCUUCUCCUGGCUCAUCCUGGCUCAAAAGCUCCCCAACUGAGCAUCUUGUGACCCCCACUCUUGCCUGCCAGAGAACAACCCCACUUUUUCCUUUACCUACCCAAAUCCUAUAAAACAGCCCCACCCCUAUCUCCCUUCGCUGACUCUCUUUUUGGACUCAGCCCGCCUGCACCCAGGUGAUUAAAAUCUUUAUUGCUCACACAAA
rnacentral:lncRNA from 1 species